rnacentral:rRNA from 1 species
UUUAGAUCGCCCUGUUUUUCAAAAACAUGUCCUUUCGUUUUUUUGGAAGGUCUGGCCUGCCCAGUGAAUAAAUUUAACGGCCGCGGUAUAUUGACCGUGCAAAGGUAGCAUAAUCAUUAGUCUUUUAAUAGGAGGCUGGUAUGAAAGGUUUAACGAAACAUAAACUGUCUUAUUUAUAAAUUUUAAUUUAACUUUUAAGUUAAAAGGCUUAAAUAUAUUUGGAGGACGAGAAGACCCUAUAGAGCUUUACAUUAUUUAUUUUUAAUAUUUAUUUGUUUGAUAAUUUGAUAUUAAUUCUAAUAAUGUUUUGUUGGGGUGACAAGAAAUAUAUACUUAACUUUUAUCAUUUAAUUUACAUUAAUUUAUGAGUUUUGGAUCCAAUAUUAUUGAUCAUUAGAUUAAGUUACCUUAGGGAUAACAGCGUAAUCUUCUUUCAGAGUUCAAAUUUACAAGAAGGCUUGCGACCUCGAUGUUGGAUUAAGAUAAUAAUUAGGUGCAGUAGCUUAAUUAAUAGGUCUGUUCGACCCUAAAUCUUACAGAUACUUGACCGCCCC